GGAGCAUGCGGCUUAAUUCGACGCAACGCGAAGAACCUUCCCAAGGCUUGACAUAUAGGGAAAAGUGGCAGAGAUGUCAUGUCCGCAAGGGCUCUAUACAGGUGGUGCAUGGUUGUCGUCAGCUCGUGUCGUGAGAUGUUGGGUUAAGUCCCGCAACGAGCGCAACCCUCGUUCUGUGUUGCCAGCAUUUAGUUGGGGACUCACAGGAGACUGCCGGGGUUAACUCGGAGGAAGGUGGGGAUGACGUCAAAUCAUCAUGCCCCUUAUGUCUUGGGCUGCACGCAUGCUACAAUGGCCGGUACAGAGGGCUGCAAUACCGUAAGGUGGAGCGAAUCCCAAAAAGCCGGUCUCAGUUCGGAUUGAGGUCUGCAACUCGACCUCAUGAAGUUGGAGUUGCUAGUAAUCGUAGAUCAGCAUCGCUACGGUGAAUACGUUCCCGGGGCUUGUACACACCGCCCGUCACGUCACGAAAGUCGGUAACACCCAAAAGUCAGUGGCCCAACCGCAAGGGGG
rnacentral:rRNA from 1 species